rnacentral:rRNA from 1 species
AACGAACGCUGGCGGCAGGCCUAACACAUGCAAGUCGAGCGAGGACUUCGGUUCUAGCGGCGGACGGGUGAGUAACGCGUGGGAAUGUGCCCUUCUCUACGGAAUAGCCCUGGGAAACUGGGAGUAAUACCGUAUACGCCCUAUUGGGGAAAGAUUUAUCGGAGAAGGAUCAGCCCGCGUUGGAUUAGGUAGUGGGUGGGGUAAUGGCCUACCAAGCCGACGAUCCAUAGCUGGUUUGAGAGGAUGAUCAGCCACACUGGGACUGAGACACGGCCCAGACUCCUACGGGAGGCAGCAGUGGGGAAUCUUAGACAAUGGGGGCAACCCUGAUCUAGCCAUGCCGCGUGAGUGAUGAAGGCCUUAGGGUUGUAAAGCUCUUUCAGCUGGGAAGAUAAUGACGGUACCAGCAGAAGAAGCCCCGGCUAACUCCGUG